CUCAUCCCUGACUGGCUGCAGCUGUGCAGGACAGGUGAAUGCUAUUGAAGGUGAGGAGCCAGGGAGUGCCCAGGGGUGCUGAGCAAUCACACAGGGCACAGAGGGCACACAGGGGCAGGGCAUCAACAGGAGGGCAUAAAAGGCUGGGCUGAGGGACAGGAAGGGCAGAGCUUGCAGCCUCCUGAAGAGGUGAGGUGUCGCUCUGCAUGGACUGACCCUUGCAGCCCUCUGGAGAGCACACAGGGGUACCUUCCACUUUGAGAACUUCGUAUUUCUCACAAGGUAUGGGACAAGCACACAGCCUGUUAUUAAAGGGACCUCACUUUUUCACAGUCAGCUCAAGAAAGGUGUGAUUAGCACAGACCUCAGCCCUGCAUGGGGUGUCCACUGGGACAUCGGUGUUGUCACAGGCAGCCCUUGGAAGGUGAAGUGUGAGGGAUGAGCUCUCAACUCCUGGCUGAGCAGCAGUGCCAGGCCAGGGGUGCUGUGGACAUUGGCUCUGCACUGUGUGAUGGGGCCUGCCUCAUCCCUGGCCUCUCUGCCUUACCACCUAUUUGCAGGUAUUCAGGAUUUUUCAUAUGCAACUGCAGGAAAUUGAAGUGAGUGCCACCAGGUCGUGUGACACCCUUGGACAGGUGCUUUGACUUUGGACUAAGGUUCAGUUGCCACUGCAGAUCUGCUCCUGGCUUUAGGGGAGCUGGCAGAGCUCUGUGUGUGCAGGGUGGUGGGGUUCAGCCCAUUUCUGCUGUGGCAGGGGCAGGUUGUCAGCUACGGAGCCCUGUCUGUGCUUCUGUCGUCUAUUUACCUGCAGGAUGGACAGAAGGCUGUUGUGGGAUUAUAUCCACAGGAAAAUGGACAUGUGCUGCAUGAACCAGCCUGACCCUGUGGGAUCAUAUCUACAGGCAAAUGGACAUGUACUGCAUGAACCAGCCUGACCCUGUGGGAUCAUAUCCACAGGCAAAUGGACAUGUACUGCGUGAACCAGCCUGACCUUCUGCAACUAAAGAACAAGGUCAUCUUGGGGGAUAAAAAAAGCUGAUGAUGUAAGAAGAAGAGUUGCUGACAGACAAAGGGGUGUCAACCCAAGUGAAAUGACACUUGCAGCUCCUAUCAAUUAGAGUAAGAAAAGGAUGUGUGCUGCCUGGUGGACAAAACAGAGCUGCCAACCAGGAGAUGAGUGGACAAAGUGGAGCAACAAAUCAAACAACGUGCGACUGUGUAGACCCAAGGUAAAAAGUAAAUAACAUUUAGAAGCACAAC